rnacentral:rRNA from 1 species
AGAGUUUGAUCCUGGCUCAGGACGAACGCUGGCGGCGCGCCUAACGCAUGCAAGUCGAACGAGCGAGAGAGAGCUUGCUUUCUCAAGCGAGUGGCGAACGGGUGAGUAACGCGUGAGGAACCUGCCUCAAAGAGGGGGACAACAGUUGGAAACGACUGCUAAUACCGCAUAAGCCCACAGGUCGGCAUCGACCAGAGGGAAAGGAGCAAUCCGCUUUGAGAUGGCCUCGCGUCCGAUUAGCUAGUUGGUGAGGUAAUGGCCACAAGGCGACGAUCGGUAGCCGGACUGAGAGGUUGAACGGCACAUUGGGACUGAGACACGGCCCAGCUCCUACGGGAGCA